rnacentral:rRNA from 1 species
GACGAACGCUGGCGGCGUGCUUAACACAUGCAAGUCGAACGGAAAGGCCCUGCUUUUGUGGGGUGCUCGAGUGGCGAACGGGUGAGUAACACGUGAGUAACCUGCCCUUGACUUUGGGAUAACUUCAGGAAACUGGGGCUAAUACCGGAUAGGAGCUCCUGCUGCAUGGUGGGGGUUGGAAAGUUUCGGCGGGUGGGGAUGGACUCGCGGCUGAUCAGCUUGUUGGUGGGGGAGGGGCUUACCAAGGCUUUGGCGGGUAGCCGGCCUGAGAGGGUGACCGGGCACCUUGGGACUGAGGUACGGCCCAGACUGCUACGGGAGACAGCAGUGGGGAAUAUUGCACAAUGGGCGGAAGCCUGAUGCAGCGGCGCCGCGUGCGUGAUGACGGCCUUCGGGUUGUGAACCGCUUUCGCCUGUGACGAAGCGUGUGUGACGGUAAUGGGUAAAGAAGCACCGGCUAACUACGUG